CGGCAGGGGAGGUUGGAGCGACGCUGAGCUCAGGGCUCGUCGGCAGCCGCGGCGCCGGGGGGUAGCGAGGGCCGGGCGACCGCUCGCUCCGCGCCGCCUCGGUGCAGGGCGAGCGGAGGGGCUUUGCAGCGGCCGCCGCCGCCGCGGGAGGAGGGGGUUGAGCUGGCUCCGGAGUUGGCCAAAGAAGGUGGGCAUUUCUCGCUUCUCCUCGCCUCCCCCGCCCCCUCCUGGGCUCCCCUCCCUCCUGCCCCGCACCCCACGUGAAGCGGAAUAUAAAGGGGGGUGUGUGACUGGAGGGGAAAGUGAAUGGCGAAGGACUGAAGGGGUCCCCCUUCGGUUCCCCAGCCACCUGGUUCACCCGGUUCAUCCUCCCUUCCCGAAGCUAGCCCUUGAAGGCACGAGCAGCCGGCGCCUUCGGCAGAGGAGGAGGAGGAGGAGGAGGGAUCGCGUCGGGCGGAGCUUCAGGUCCUGUUCGCCUCUCCGGCUUCUCCAUACAAAGAUUACGGUGCAGAAGGAAAUUGCACUUGCCUCCUCCGCCCCCCGGUACCCAGCACAAUGCACCAGCCUCCGGAGUCCACCGCCGCGGCGGCCGCUGCUGCUGCAGACAUUAGUGCUAGGAAGAUGGCGCACCCGGCAAUGUUCCCUCGAAGGGGCAGCGGUGGUGGCAGCGCCUCUGCUCUCAAUGCAGCAGGUACCGGCGUCAGUGGUGCUGCUCCAUCUUCUGAAGAUUUUCCUCCUCCUUCGCUGCUUCAGCCGCCGCCUCCUGCUGCAUCUUCCACGCAGGGACCACAGCCUCCGCCUCCACAAAGCCUGAACCUCCUCUCGCAGGCUCAGCUGCAGGGACAGCCUCUUGCGCCAGGCGGAACUCAGAUGAAAAAGAAAAGUGGCUUCCAGAUAACUAGCGUUACUCCGGCUCAGAUCUCUGCCAGCAUCAGCUCUAACAACAGCAUAGCAGAGGACACCGAGAGCUACGACGAUCUGGAUGAGUCGCACACGGAAGAUCUCUCUUCAUCCGAGAUCCUUGACGUGUCCCUUUCCAGGGCCACUGACUUAGGUGAGCCUGAACGCAGUUCCUCAGAGGAGACUCUGAAUAACUUCCAGGAAGCUGAGACACCUGGGGCAGUCUCUCCUAACCAGCCCCACCUUCCUCAGCCUCAUUUGCCUCACCUUCCACAACAGAACGUUGUGAUCAAUGGGAAUGCUCAUCCUCACCACCUCCAUCACCACCAUCACAUUCAUCAUGGGCACCACCCUCACCAUGGGCACCACCAUUCAUCACAUGCUGCUGUGGCCAGUACAUCCAUUCCUGGAGGGCCACCCUCGAGCCCAGUGUCCAGGAAACUCUCUACAACUGGAAGUUCUGAUGGUGGUGUGCCAGUCGCACCUCCUUCUGCUGUAUCAUCGAGUAGCUUACCUGCAUCAGCGAUGACGAACGUCCGUACUCCGAGUACUACAGGCAGCCUAGGUAUAAACGUGGUUGCUGGCACGAACGCACCGAAUAAUGUUAACAUUGCUGCUGUGGGUAGUUUCAGUCCCAGCGUGACAAACAGUGUGCAUGGUAAUGCUAAUAUAAGUACAAGCAAUAUCCCUAAUGCUGCUAGCGUAAGUGGUGGGCCUGGAGUUACCAGUGGUGUUAAUGUGAAUGUCUUGAGUGGCAUGGGCAAUGGUACCGUUUCUUCCUCACCUGUUGCUAACAGUGUCCUUAAUGCAGCUGCAGGUAUCACUGUGGGAGUGGUUUCCAGUCAGCAGCAGCAGCAGCAGCAACAACAACCAACAGUUAACACAUCGAGGUUCAGGGUUGUGAAGUUAGACUCUACUUCUGAACCCUUUAAAAAAGGUCGAUGGACUUGCACUGAAUUCUAUGAGAAAGAAAAUGCUGUGCCAGCUACAGAAGGCGUGGCCAUAAAUAAAGUGGUGGAGACUGUGAAGCAAACCCCCACGGAAGUGUCGUCCUCGGAGAGGGAGAGCACUAGUGGGAGUUCCGUGAGCAGUAGUGUGAGCACACUGAGUCACUACACAGAGAGUGUGGGAAGUGGGGAGAUGGGAGCCCCAGCUGUGGUGGCACCGCAGCAGCCGCUGCCACCCGCGCCUCCAGGUCUUCAAGGCGUGGCCCUCCAACAGCUAGAGUUCAGUAGCCCUGCUCCACAGAGUAUGGCGGCCGUCAGCAUGCCACAGAGUAUUUCUCAGUCGCAGAUGUCACAAGUACAACUACAGCCUCAAGAAUUGAGCUUUCCGCCGAAGCAGAGUCUUCAACCUGCUCCCCUGCAAGCCACUAUGAGUACGGCAACGGGUAUCCAGCCUUCACCUGUCAACGUGGUCGGCGUCCCGGCCGCGGUAGGUCAGCAGCCUUCCAUUUCCAGUCUGGCUCAACCCCAGCUGCCGUAUUCUCAGACAGCUCCUCCUGGGCCAACCCCUCUUCCAGGGGCACCACCACAGCAGUUACAAUAUGGGCAACAGCAACCAAUGGUUCCUACACAGAUAGCCCCAGGCCAUGGCCAGCCAGUGACUCAAAAUCCUACUUCAGAGUACGUACAGCCCCAGCAGCAGCAGCCGCAGCCACAGCCGCAGCCACCGCCGCCAAUAUUUCAAGUAUCGAUGGCCUCUGUACAGGCCAGUUCCACAGGCACGGGGGCGGGAACAUCAGUGAUCCCUGUGGCUCAGCCACAAGGGCUCCAGCUGCCAGUGCAGCCCACAGCGCAAGCUGCAGGGGUGCCCGGGCAGCCCAUUGGCCAGGCUCAAACAGCAGUGUCCACUGUACCAACUGGCGGUCAGAUUGCAAAUAUCGGUCAACAGGCAAACGUACCCGCUGUGGUACAGCAGCCCUCUACCCAAGUUACACCUUCAGUUAUUCAGCAAGGUGCUCCUCCGUCUUCACAAGUAGUCCUACCUGCUCCAACCGGGAUAAUUCAUCAGGGAGUUCAAACCAGUGCUUCAAGCCUUCCUCAACAGUUGGUCAUUGCACCCCAGAGUACCUUGGUAGCUGUACCUCCCCAGCCACAGGGAGUCGAAACUGUGGUUCAGGGGGUCGCUCCCCAGCAGUUGCCCACAGGUAGCCCUCUGCCCUCUGCUAGCACUAUUUCUGUUACAAAUCAGGUUACUUCAGCUGGUCCUCCUGGAAUGCCUUCUGUCCCAACAAACUUAGCUCCACCACAGAAUAUAGCACAACCCCCAGCCACCCAGAACGGCAGUUUGGUUCAAAGUGUUAGUCAAUCUCCCUUGAUAGCCACUAACAUAAAUUUGCCUCUGGCACAACAGAUACCACUCAGUUCUACUCAGUUCUCUACACAAUCAUUAGCUCAGGCCAUUGGAAGCCAAAUGGAAGAUGCCAGGCGCCCAGCGGAGCCCUCCUUAGGCGGCUUACCUCAGACUAUCAGUGGUGACGGUGGGGGAGUGUCAGCAGUUUCAGAUGGGAGUAGCAGCAGCCUUGCAGCCUCUGCUUCUCUCUUCCCGUUGAAGGUGCUACCGCUGACAACACCCCUGGUGGAUGGCGAGGAUGAGAGCUUUGGUAUGUUUCCACUCUGGCUGCCAGAGCCAGGAGCCAGGAGGCAGUGAAGGCAGUAGGCACUGGCCUGGUCACUGCCCCUUAACGCUGAGGUAGAGCCUUGCUUGGUUGUUUGGUAGAGGACAGGACAGCACAACCCUCGGUCCACUAACAGGUAAGGAAACUUGUGAUAACCAGUUGGUGCAAGGGGGAAGUAAUCUGGCUGCAUUUCCCCUCCUUCAUUCACCCAGAAUAUAACAUGUCCCAGAAGUAGGACACCACGACUGACUGAUAGAUUCGGCAGGGACACACAGCACCUGUACAGAUAAGGGGAACUUACCACUCUGUACACAGAUAACUGAUCGUUUCCCCAAGGCAGUGCUGUUGGUCCUGUAACUUCAACUCCGCACCUGCCUCCGCUUCUCCUUUGAGCUUUGCCUUGAUCAGACACUAUGUGCUUUUGAACCUCUGUCCUGUAGUAGAACUAUUUUCCAGCAUCUUCACCAUCAUCUACGUUCUAAUUUCUACAUUCUGGCCACUAAUGAUUAUUCCUGGUCCCUCUUGACUCCAAAGAAAAGGACCAUGCAUUUAAACAAUUUUUAAGUAUGUAUUACCUAUGAAUAUUAUCCUGCCCUCUAGUUUCAAGGAUGACUGACCUCUUGAAAAAAAGAAGCCUUUUUCAUUGACAUUAGUCAGAGCUUUGAUAAAACUCCAGUUUAACCUAUUUUUAGCUAUAAUAUUGGCCUAUAGUGUUGAUCGGUCUGUCUAAAUUACUGGAAUUUAAACCAUUAAAUUGAGCUCUGUAGACAUUCCUGAUUAGUAGUGUUCUUUACUAUGAUUAUUCUGUUUCUACUUCCCAAUCCAUCCUCUUCUCUUCGAUAGAAGAAUUAACUGGAGAUCUUUUGAUGGAUCAGGCUGAAUGCGUUCUCCCUGUCCCUUUAAAACAACUAUGAUCUUGUUUCCCAUAAUAAUUUAUGAUUUUUUUGUUCCAAUCUUCUGUUUGAGGUUUAGUGGUUUGUCACAGAGUGUGUUAUGGCUUAGACCAGAACAGGCCCCUUCUUAGUAGCUACGGAGGAAAUCAACCAUUUCGUGGUAACAGACUUCUAAAAUUGAAAUUAAGAUGGUACUUAAGGAAGUUUGCACCAAGAUCGCUCCUUUUUGUCCUGAGGAUAAGCCAUUACAAACUCAAAUGACCAGAGUAUGUAAUUUUUUUUUAAUAAGAAUUUUUUCUUAAAUCUAUAUUCAGCUCUAUUUCAGUGCUUCUCUCCUACCAGAGGUGCAAGGAGUGAUCCUAGAGCCACAGAUACAGCCAAGACCACGGAGAGCUUUUGACGUCAGGGCUUCACUUUCUCCACUGAACCCUUGGAGACAGAAUAUCCAGCUUCUGGAGAGAGUGGGAAAGGAUAAUAAACAAGUAUCUUGAUAAUGGGAGACCGGUUUAUUUGUUCUCUAAUUGCCCAGAUUUCUUUCAACUGGUAAAACAUCAUACCUCUUCAGCAAAAGGAACUCCUCUAGCAGAGCCCUCAUGGAUGAUAUCUGUCCCACGUGGCAGCACCUGCAGUGGAAGGCAGUGGUGAAUGGAUCCAUGCACUAUGUCUAGAAGACACAAGGAUGAGCCAGCCACCUGAUCUUGUUAUUUACAAACUUCUAAGAUUUACUCUGGUUUAUUUUUGGUCUGAAAAUGGAAAGGCUCAAAUAAUGAAGUAAUCUUUUCAUAUUGGAGUUUUACAUGGCCAUGAAAGUAUUUCUUAUUCUGAAGACUGAAGUAGAGGAAGCUUGAGAGUCUUGUCUUUCAAAGCAGCUCUCUGUAUCUGUUUCACUUAAAAGAUUUGUGGGACUGAAAAUCAUUUUAAUCACAUAGGCAACCCCCACUUUAAAAAGUAGCAUUAAAAAAAGUACAGAAAGCUCGAGGAACCCUUCUACCACCUCCUCUUUUGUCACCCAGCGCUAAAGCGAAUAAAGGGUGACCCAAGUCUUGAAGAGUUCAUAAGUGUUAGGAUUAGGACGUACUUUUGGCUCAUCUCUUGCUGGUCCUGAGCCUUAUUCUUACUGUAAUUUAUGAACUGAUGAAAGCCGUAGAGACCCGGUGGAAUCCAGUUGUGUUCCUAAGCAGUCAGUGCCCGUUAGGGUUUACUCUGCCCUGAGUGACGCAGAGGUAAUGAACAGUCAGAGGGAACCUGUAGGUGUGAGUAGGCUUGAAGUAAUUGUCCAAAUUACCAGCUGGCAGUAGCUGUCAAAUGCGGCUUCUUUCUUUGGUUAUCAGGUAACUGGCCAGUCAAAGCUACAAGGGAAACUGGAGCAGUUACCUGAUGCUGCCAGUUCCUCUUCAGUUAGAAUAAGUUUUAAGAAGAGAAGUCGUAGAAUUAAUAAUAGGAGAACUAAAAUAUUAGCCUCUCAACAUUUAAGACUAUCAGCUAAGAUAAUCUACUUUUAGUCUCUCUUGGCUAUAAGAACUAUUUCUUAAUUAUAAAUCAUUUUUGAAAAGUUUAAUGCUUAAAAGUAAAUAAGAUAAUUUUGAACUGAAAAAAUUCCCACAGAACUCUGAAUUCCUGUAGAGUGAGUCCAGCUUUGUUGUCCUGACUUACGAGUACAUAUAAACAAAAAACAAAUUAUCUAAUAUUUUAGAAGGAAUUCAGAGCUGAAACUGAGAUUUACCUAGAAAUCCCGUUACAUUCUUUAAACCACAGUACAAACUAUUUUAUGGCCUGAGUCUACUAGCCUUUUGUCUCAGCACUUAAGACAGAGAGUGAUUUAACCUUGGAAUCUCAAGCUUUAAUGAAUUUCAGCUCUUCCUAAAAGUGUGCAAAAGAGAUGUAAGUGCACUCCCUUUACCUCAUGCACUACAGCUAAUAAGAGUUAAACUUUUUGUGUACCACUGUGAACUGUUUUGUUUGAAUUUUAAUUUUGAUGCAUUUUCUUUUUAGAUUUUUAAAGAACAAUUUCGUGUCACAAUAUGCAAUCCUAUAUCUUUUUCGUGUUCACUUUAUGAAUAUUAAUAUAAGUGAUUUUUUUUCCUAGAAUGAUUUAUUGUGUAAUAUUUGUAUUAUGUGAUCAUUUGAAAACUAAUAAAUAUUUUCUCCAUGGAAAAAAUGCA